rnacentral:rRNA from 1 species
GUGGGGAAUAUUGGACAAUGGGCGCAAGCCUGAUCCAGCAAUGCCGCGUGAGUGAUGAAGGCCUUAGGGUUGUAAAGCUCUUUCACCGAUGAAGAUAAUGACGGUAGUCGGAGAAGAAGCCCCGGCUCACUUCGUGCCAGCAGCCGCGGUAAUACGAAGGGGGCUAGCGUUGUUCGGAUUUAAUGGGCGUAAAGCGCACGUAGGCGGUUUGUUAAGUCAGAGGUGAAAUCCCGGAGCUCAACGCCGGAAGUGCCUUUGAUACUGGGAAGCUAGAGUCCAGAAGAGGUAAGUGGAACUCCUAGUGUAGAGGUGGAAUUCGUAGAUAUUAGGAAGAACACCAGUGGCGAAGGCGGCUUACUGGUCCGGAACUGACGCUGAGGUGCGAAAGCGUGGGGAGCAAACAGGAUUAGAAACCCCAGUAGUCC